AUUGAACGCUGGCGGAAUGCUUUACACAUGCAAGUCGAACGGCAGCACGGACUUCGGUCUGGUGGCGAGUGGCGAACGGGUGAGUAUUGUAUCGGAACGUGCCCAGUCGUGGGGGAUAACGUAGUGAAAAUUACGCUAAUACCGCAUACGAUCUAUGGAUGAAAGCGGGGGAUCGCAAGACCUCGCGCGAUUGGAGCGGCCGAUAUCAGAUUAGGUAGUUGGUGGGGUAAAGGCCCACCAAGCCAACGAUCUGUAGCUGGUCUGAGAGGACGACCAGCCACACUGGAACGGAGACACGGUCCAGACUCCUACGGGAGGCAGCAGGGGGGAAUGUUGGACAAUGGGCGAAAGCCUGAUCCAGCCAUUCCGCGUGCAGGAUGAAGGCCCUCGGGUUGUAAACUGCUUUUGUACAGAACGAAAAGGUUUCUACUAAUACUAGGAGCUCAUGACGGUACUGUAAGAAUAAGCACCGGCUAACUACGUGCCAGCCGCCGCCGUAA
rnacentral:rRNA from 1 species